ensembl:lncRNA
AGAAACAGGAAGGGCCCUCUUUUCCCCUCGGCUCCUGCUCCAGCGGCACGAUGUGAUCCACCAGCUAGGAGGGACGCCAAUAAGGCGUCCGAUAAGUAGGAAGCAAAAGCAUCAAGUGUGCGUUUCCUGAUUUAUCUGCCCGAGGGGACUUGAGAGUGAACCAUUACAAUAUCAGAGAAGAAGAGGUGAUUAGGGGAUGACAGGAGCUGGCUGAGGCCCGGUGACAUGUGGAUCUUUGGAAUAUCUUCAGAAGACAUACAUUUUCUGUGUUUCUUCAAGGAAGUGUGGUGAAGAUUUGAAAACAUCAAAACUGCUCAUGGGGAGCCAGUGCAGCAGCCUCGGGAACCACUCUGAUCCUGUUCAGAGUGGAAUGGAUGGAGGCUUGUGGUGCUCCUUACAAAGACUACUGGUAGAGCUGUUUCCAACAAGGCUUUCAUGGACGGUUGCAGAACAGCACAAAGCAAAAUGCAUCAUUGAGGACAGAAGAGGAUGUUCUGCUUUUCACUCUUUCAAGUUCUUUUAAACAUGAAUAGAAACAGCUGACCUGAACAAGGGGUUGCUCAUGGACCCCAGACUGAGAACUAGGAGACCAGCAUAGGACUCUUACAGACUCCCUGGAAGAGGACGUCAGUUUGGAGGUCUGGACAAUCCAUUGGGCCACUGGUAGUGGAUCAUUAUUUACACCUACUGCUCAAAUGGACUUUGGGAGCCCACUACACAUAGAGAGCACCGGGAUUACAGAGGCAACCACCGCACCCAUGACUAGCUCCCACCUGUCAUUCCUUGUGGAUAAAUGUCCUGGAGGAUGUAUGAAGAAUGUAUCUUGGGAAGAAACUUGCCAAUGAUGAAUGAAGUUGGUUGGACAGUACAGUAGCUUUUCGGGUGAUGAUAUUCUGAGAUGAGUCCUAAGCUUUCUCCUUUAGUCCACUGGAGCAUGGAGCCCUGACAUUAGCAAUAACAAGCUGCUUUGCACAGCAUAGAUGAGCUCCCUUCCUGUUGGGGGAUAUCAUUUUCAGGUGUGUGGCUUUUGUUUAUGCUGCAUUUGUCUAACUCUGUGAAGUUGUGUUACUGUGUCUGUCUAAAAAACCUGAUAGUCCCAAUAAAGAGCUGAACAACCAAUAGCAAAGCAGAAACAAGGAUAGGCGAGGCUAGCAGGCAGAGAAAAUAGAUAGAAACAGCUGCAAGAGGACAAGGAGAGGAGGACAUCUGUGGUCAGCCACCAGGGAAAAUUUAAGAAAAGCUUGCAAGAAACAAGCCAAGUAAAGGCUGAGUUUUCAUAACUAAGAAUAAGCCUCCACAUGGGAUUUACAUGGGAUUUACAUGGAUGGAGGGCCCCUCAAAAUGGUCACAAGACAAAAAAGUAAAAGAGUAAAACAUCAAGGAUACCUUCCCUUUCCUUGUCUUGUGCACUCAGAGAGACAAGCCUCAAAGGCAGCAGUUGCACUCCCUUAGUUCAUGCUUGAACAUUGAUAAUAGUUGUUGUAAGGGAUGCAUCAGAGAUACCUCCCUCUUUAGCAACAAACCCUCUGUAUAACAUCUUCUCAAAACUAGAAAUCCAUUUUGGAAUAUGGCUUGAUAAACAUCAUCUCUGUUUAGCAGUUUCCUUUAGCAAUAGUCCUUAGCGUAGACCAAGGCUCACACUGUGGUCAAAACCAGUUUCUACAUAUAAAGCAUCUUUAAGUAAAUUUUGUUCUCACUGAACUAAAGGCCACAACUUUAUCACCUAUGUCCUUGUGAAAAAAUAAUUUGAACCCCCCCCACACACACAGACACACUUUCACAUUAGAAUAAAAGGGGACAGCUAUGCCUUACUCAAAAAUCCCCCUCUUUGUUGAGGAUAACAGGGAACAUUGACUGGAGGAUGUGAUGAUGAUUUAUCAUCCUCAUUUCCACCACAGCUAUAUGCUUGUCUGCUUCCUCAACCACACUGGCCUCUACAGUAAUAAGGUCUGUAUGAAAGAUAAUGUUGUUGUUGAGGGCCCAGUGCUGCUUGCAAUAUUUGAAUAAUUUUUCAUUUCCACUUUGCAUUUAAUCUUGAUAUCAGCUUUGACCAUUAGUGAACUCAGGAAUAUCACCCCUGGCAAGAAAUGCCCAAAUAAAAGAUUUUAUACUUCUACCACUGUCCAAGGAGUAUCUCUCGCCUUCAUUCUAGAGUCUCUAUUUUCUUCCGGUAGGAACACUGCUUUCAUACCCCUAGCUGUGAAUACUUUUGUCUACAUUUAUUUUGGCUAACAGUUUCAGAGAGUUUCUGUCUUUUUUAUUGUGGGGAAAGAUGUAACAAGGAAGCUCAAGCUAUAGCAGUAGGAAUAUGUGUCAAAGGGUAUUCAUAUCAGUGUAGACCAGGAACAGAGUCUGAGGAGAAUUUUGAAGACUAGCCAUUGAGCUGGCCUUAAAUGGAAUAAGACAACUGUUGGUUAUUCUUAUAUUAGUGCCACUAUUUCAGUAAUUGGUAUAUCUUGCCUGGUCAGCCAUUAUUGUAGCUCACAAGAUUUACCAUUCGUAGACUGUUGAUAACUUUCUCUCCUCUCAGCCUGCAUAAUAAUUCCUACAGUCUGAGAGCUAGCCCUCAGGGAGGACACUUCAAAGACAGUACCAGCUUAAUUUCUCAAGACCUGUGACAGAAGUUUGUGGUAGCUGGUAGUGUAACCACAGCCAACAAUCUGUAGCUGGAGAAUUUAUAGACCCCAGAGUAGAACCUAUUGCUGUCAUUGUGCAAAUUUGGUACAACAUCCAAAUAAGUUCUAAAUGCUUAUCAACAUACCAUAGAUUAGUACAGUUCUCAUCCACAUUAAAAAUUAUUCUUUUUGCAGCAGAUGGAGUUCAUUACAGAAAAGAUUUGUCCAAGUGCAGAGAAUAGUGACUGUGGAAUAUCCAUUCCCAUUUGGAUAUCUAAAACAAGGUAGACACCCAAGACUUAGAGAAAAUUGUGGUGAAGAAGUUAGAAAUAUUGUAAAUGCCAUUACUACAAAAUAAUGUCUUCUGGACAUGAGAGGGCUAUUGAACUAAUAAACUCUCAACAGUUAUGGUUGCCUGCCUAAGACUUGCAUAAAAUCAUACCUGUCAACAUGGCAGCAGGAAUGGGGUUAAGACUCAAGUUUCCACUACUAGUUGAGGAAUGAGAGGCAAUAAAUGGUUGCUGAUGGAGGCAGUCAGUUUUCUUCAGAGACAAGCUUCCUGGUUGGUUGUCCAUGGUCUGUGGUCAGCCUUCAGCAUGUGCAUUCAAGUAGAACUAAAUGGAACCAGUGGGUAUCACACAUAUUAAAAGAAUUGGACAAUAAUUUAGAAAAGGUUGAUGGGCAUGGGAGGAGCUGGAGAGAGGUGUGGAUAAUGCAUUGUACUCAUGUAUGACAUCUUACCCCCCCCAGGCUGGUCUUUCAUGAUUUAUUUCUUCUUCUGCCAAUAAGAUCCCACAUCCUAAAAUUUUCCAAUCUCCAAAGUCUCAUACCUACUUAGAAGUUCAUGCAUUCAAGUCAUAAGCUUUUAGGAGACUUUUCAGAUUCAAAUCAUAGUAUUUACCAACGCUAUUAUGAGCAAAAGAACUCCACUUGGUAAUUUGGAGUUUAUUAAUUGAGCUAUUUAGGGUUUAAGACAAUAGGCACAAGCUACUAAUAGAGGAUUACAUAUUGUCAGUUGAUAAAUUCAUCGAGAUACUGAAGACAGAUAUCAUGAUGACAGUUAUAUAAUAAUAAGUUAUACAGGGUCUAUAAAGGGACGUGGUUGUUAUAAAAGCUCUUGGAUAGAAAAUGUUAAAACUGAAGCAUCAAAUUAUCAUCUUUGUGCUAUAUCCAGAAAUCUCUAUUACUGCACUAAAAUAACUUUUAUAACUAUAGGAUUUAUAAAAAAUAAUCUGGAGUACAAAAAUCUGACAUUUUAUUUCCUGAACAAAAAUAUACACUUAACACUAUCAAUGAAUUUUUUUUGCAGAAGUUAGUAUUAAUUACUUAAAGAAUCAUCUUAAUGUUGAAAUACAGGAUUGAUUAUUUGAGAGACUUUGAAUAAAUCUAUCGCUACAAACUCUGAAAUUUCAUGGAGUUUCUUUAACAGAAAAUUCUGUGUCUCUUGUCUGCCUGAUGAUCCUGUCUGUGUAGUCAGAAUUAGACAAAAUCUAAUUUUCACCUUGAGUUCCUGCCAUCCUUUUACUGUCCUUUCUAAUACAGAAUUAGAAUACACAAAUUGAGGAAGCCCAGUUAUAAAUUCACCCCAGAGGUUUAAACUCUGGAGAGGUGGUGUUACAGAAGAGGUUGUGGUUGCUUGCUAGCCAAAGAGAGAGACAAGAGGUGAAAUUACUAAACUGUAGCUCCUAAAAGGGCUUGCUCACCACUUGAGUUGCUAAGGGAAGGUUAGGAGUGAAGCAGAUCAUCCCAAAGUUACUACACAUAUGUAAGGAAUAUUUAUUAGGAAGCAGUGGUCCAGAGUUUCCUCUCCACUGAAAUACUACAAGCUACAUUGAUGAGGAGUCUAGAUUCCCAGAAGGGUUUAUGCAUUGUCUUAGUUAUUUUCUAGUGCUGUGAUAAAACACUAUGACCAAGAACCAAGGUAACUUAUGAAAGGAAGGCUUUUGGAUGUAGAGGGAUGAUAGUCUCUAUGAUGGUAGAGUAGAAGGCACAGACAACAGCUGACAGCUCACAUCCAAACACAAACAAGAAGCACUGAAAAUAGCCUAUGGCUUUUGAAACCCCAAGCCAUACUCCCAGUGACACACUUCCUCCAUGAAGGCCAUACAUCCUAAACCUAACUAAGCAAUGUUACCCAUUUGGUACCAUUCAGAUGCCCAACAAUAUGGGAAGCAUCUCAUCCAAACUACUAUAUGUGUCAUCUUUCUACUCUGCAUAAAAGACCUGUGACAACAUCCACACUUCCAAACAAGAAAAAGAUAGAAAACAUUACUAGUAAAACAAAACAAAACACCAGACUGAUCUUGUUAAAACAACUUUUAAUUUCUACAGACUAACUAAAGAUAUCUAUGAUAGAACAUGGCCUGCCUGAGGUCUAAUCUUGUAUGGUGAUGUGAAUGAAAAAGUCUCCUGUGGGGUCAUAUGUUUGAAUGUGUAGUUCAUUAGUUGUUGGGACUGUUAAGAAAGCAUUAAAGGAUGAGGACUUACUUGUUGGAGGAGGUGUGCCAUUGGGAGUGUACUUUGAGGUUUCAACAGCGCAAGUCUUUCUUAGUUAGCUCUUUUUCUCUCUAUGCUUGUGAACCAGAAUGUAAGUACUUAGAUAUGGGUACAGUGGCAUGCCUGCCUGCUUGGAGUCAUGCUCUCUGCCAUGGUGGCCAUGGACUCUAACUCCCUAGAACUGUUAGCCUUCAAAUUAAAUAUUUUCUUCUAUAAGUUGCUUUGGUCAUUCUUGGUAUCUCCUCACAGCUAUAAAAACAUAACUAAGACACCUGUUUUUCAGAUAGUUAAAUGGCCAUGCAGUAUGUAUGAUUGAAAGAGAUGCCAAUCUACAAAGUCCCUGUCAUAAUCAUUUAAAGAAAUAUAAUCCAAGAAGACCCUACUUAUCACAAUUGAAUUAAUUGCCUCCCUGUUACAAAAACUAAGCUGACCAUCACCUCUGCAGUUGAAGAGUGGCCAUGUUGGCGGGUGGAGUACCUUUAAUACACAUUUCUUGAUCUGCCUCUUACCACCUUAAAGACUUACAGCUAGUUUUCAAAGUGAUAUUCAUCAGGGAAAAGUGGUACACCAAGAGCACUGUUUUCUUAACAUUCCUUAAAAGGUUCCUGAAAGCUACUGGUUAGAAUUGAGAAAUUAAGGUAUUCUAGCAUAAAUAUAAUGUUGGCUCAUAUUUACAUCUCAGAAAGUGUCUGUGGUUAUUUACCCAGCUCUUCCAUUAGUAAUAGCAAUACAUACAUUCAGCACUGAUAAUUGUUGCUCUUAUGUUAAAAAAGGCCAUUCAAAGAAUCCUAGAAUAUCUUUUUUCUUUUUUUAAAUUGAAAAUAGAUUUUCUCCUACAAUGUAUUCUGAUCAUAGUUUUCCCUUCCCUAAUCCCCCAGAUCAUCCCCAUCUCCCCAGCCACCUAAAUCCACAGUCUUUCUUCCUUCUCUCAUUAGCAAACAAACAGCAAUCUAAAAUAAAAUAAAAUAAAAUAAAAAUAAAAAACAGAAUAGGACAAAACAAACAGAAAAUGUUACAAAAAAAGAGCCAAAGGAAAACCAUAAGAAGUACACACAUUCAUCACAUUCAUACAUAGAAAACUCAUCAAAACACAAAAUUGGGAAAAAACUUAUAAGGCAAAAAACAAACAAAAAAUCAAAAAUCAAACAAACAACACAACAACAACAAAAAAAGCCCAGACAGACAUAGCAUUAUGAGAGAAAAACAGAAACCCAAAUCAAACCGAAAGCCCCUAAAACUUCAAAAAUACCAUUGAGUUCAUUUUGUGUUGGCCAUAUAAUGCUGGGGCUGAGGCCAACCCUUAAGUGUAGCUCCACUGGAGAAAACUUAUUUUCUCCUUGUGAGUGAUCAUCAAUUGGAGAUAGCUUCUAGAUUAGGAAUGAGGACAGUGUCUACUUCUGCUCUUGGCUCUGGGACCCUAUCUGACUUAGACCUGUACAGACUUACAGCUAUUUUCCAAAGUCCUUGUUAGUUCAUAUGUGCAUCAGUCCUGUUGUGUCUAGAUGACCUUAUUUCCUGGGUACCAUCUGUCCCCUUUGGCUCUUCCAAUCUUCUGGCCUCCCCUUCCACAGAAUUCUCUGAGCCAGAAGGAAGGGCUCAGAGGGAAGGGCUUUGAUGGACCUGUUUAGGAUUGAAUAUUCCAAAGUCCCUCUUAUUCUCUGCACAUUGCCCACUUGUGGUUAUUUGUUCCCAUCUACUGCAAGAGUAAGCUUCUUUGAUGGUGGCUGAGGAAGACACUGAUCUAUGAGUAUAGCAGGAUGUCAUUAGGAGUCAUUUUACUGCUAUAUUCCUUUAUUUUUCCCUAAGUCAAUGGCCUAUUUAGUCUCAGUUUUUUGAUUACACUAGCAUGGGUUCUGUCUCAUGGAAUGGGCCUUACGUUCAAUCAGGUAGUGGUUGCUUACUUAUUCCCACAAUGUUUGAGCCACUAUUGCACCAGCAAAUUUUGCAGGCAGGUCACUAUUGUAGAUUCAUAGGUUUGUAGCUGGGUUGAUGUUUAUAUGUCUCCUAUGAUAGCAUGCAGCAUACCUUCCAGUAUCAUUAACACAAGUCAGUAGGGGAG